GGAGAGUAGAGGAAAGACAGGAGAUGGUUGUUGGCAAGGGCAGGGCGACUGUCCGGCCGAGGCCCAACGUGCUGGGCUGGGGGGUGGGCGGUGCCCACUUGAAGUUCAAGGUCAUAAACUUAACUGGAGCCAAUCCAAAUCCACUGCCCAAGCAAAAGCUUAUCUAAGAAAAAGAAAAAUAACUCGAAGCCUCCAAGACACAUAAAAUCAAGAAUGGACUGACAACGGUGAAGAAGGGUAGAGCUUUUCAGAAAGAUGACCCUCGAUUCAGGGCUUAGCCAUUCUUGUACAUGGAGCCAAGUUCAUUUUACCCGCAACUGACUUACGAGUGUCUCAUAACUCUGGACUCGUAACUGACACCACAAAAGCCCGUUCAAUGUCCAGUUGCUGGGAUGAGCCUAGUGGACAAAACGUCAAGCCAAUGGCAUGAGGACUGUGGUUUCAAUCAAGACCUGUCCCCCCAGAGCAGGGCUGCCCCAGCCCAUCCAUCUGGUAUCUCCGAGUCUCGGCAUCUUCUCUGAAAAUGAGAAUCAGAAGGUGUGUGAGCAAAGUUUGUUGUGUUAAUCGAAAAUAUGUUAAUUUUCUGCAUUUCAAUAACUUCAAGCUUAGCCUGAGAACCUUCCAAGCUGUAGAAAACCUCCUUGACUAAGAGUCCACCUGCACAAGGACCUCCGCCUUCUGAACACAAACGAGCUGGAAUAGACCAUAAAGAAGGAGGGGGACCCUGGGGCCAGGAAGCUGGUCCUUCACAAGUAGGUCAGUGAUGGGGAUGCAGCUGGGGGCACAUGACACGAUGACAUUUCAUCUGGGUCUGAAAUACUCAGGCCCAGGCCCCCGAGAGUCCUGCAAACAGCGAAUCAGAAGGACCGCAGAGACUGAACAGGUGGCUCUUGGCUGCUUGGAUGAGGGAGGGGAGAGGAGAGAGAAGAUGCUGGGGGCCACCCCAGGGGCCCUGCGCUGGAGACAGGUCCCGGGGCCCAGACUGUCUCACCCGAGAUGCAUCUUCCAUAACCUCCUUGGCAAGUCAGUCCUGAGCAUGAGCCUAGAGAAACCCCUUCACCAGGCCUGCCGUGGAGAAGGCCCUUCAAAGCCUCCCUCAGAAGAACGAGAAGCAUCCAAUGCUCCAUCAGUGGUGCCAUUACUAAUCAAAUUUAAAAGGAUUAAUGAGGGACCUCCCGUCAUGGCGCAGCGGACACGAAUCCGACUAGGAACCGUAAGGUUGUCGGUUCGAUCCCAGGCCCCGCUCAAUGGGUUAAGGAUCCAGCGUUGCCAUGAGCUGUGGUGUAGGUCGUGGACGCGGCUUGAAUCUGGCGUUACUGUGGCUGUGCCACAAGCUGACAGCUAUAGCUCCGAUAAGACCCCGAGUCUGGGAACCUCCACAUGCUGCAAGUGUGGCCCUAAAAAGACAAAAAGGCUAAAAUAAAAUAAAAAUAAAACAAAAUAAAAUAAAAAGUUUAAAAUAAAGUAGGAAAGCCUCUUGGAGGAAAGAAUGAAAGAUCUGUGUUAUAGUGACAAUGACAGAAAUGAAAAGCAUUUUGCCAAGAUUUUGCACCUGUGACAAGCCAGGCCAAGUCACAGACUUCGAAAAGAAUGGGCUCCUUUGGACGGGCGUGUCUGCACACCGAGGUCUAACCACUGGGGCAGUUCUACCCUAUUAGGUGAAGAAGAAACCCCCUCAUCUUGUUGUGGCUUGUGCCGCCCUGCAGGGCUGGGAUUGGGCAGAGAAAGCCUGUGUUUACGUGCGACUUUAAUUUGAUUUACUGUCCCUGACAAGCCCGCCUGAACCCAGCGCUCUGUCUCAGCAGGGUCCCUGCCUCGCCUCUCCUGCUCUGCAAGAACUCGAAAGCAGGAGCUGGCAGGUGGAUGCCGAGGGGGACUUCGCCUCCCUUCAUGCUUGCCCAGGGCAAGUGGAACCAAGCCCGACUGCUUCAGAACCUUUCCUGGGCACGGGCUAAAGGCGCUUGGUGUCACGGUGUCACUGGAGGUGGCCUGAGGGGCAGACAGAUUCACCAGCGAUGGCUGCAUCUUGGGAGCUCAGCUCUGUGAAGCGGCAGUGUCAGCCCCGUGCGAGCUCCCCGCCAUCUGGGGAGGGGACACUGUGCUUGGAAAGUCAGAAGACAGGAAAGCAUCUGCGCCCUCCUCCUCCCGAGGCCCUCAGUGUCCUGCCUCCUCUCUGAGGCUGUCUGUGUUCAAACCUGCCCUGGGCCCUGUCACCGGAACAAAAGAUGGAAUUUCGCAUUUCUACCUCCUCAUUUCCUAGAAUUUCAGCUGCCUUCAUGGUUCUCC
rnacentral:lncRNA from 1 species